rnacentral:rRNA from 1 species
UACAGAGGGUGCGAGCGUUGUCCGGAAUCACUGGGCGUAAAGGGCGCGUAGGUGGUGACCUAAGCGUGCGGUGAAAGCCCGAGGCUCAACCUCGGGUCGGCCGUGCGAACUGGGUCACUGGAGCAGAAUAGAGGCAGGUGGAAUUCCGGGUGUAGCGGUGGAAUGCGUAGAGAUCCGGAAGAACACCGGUGGCGAAGGCGGCCUGCUGGGUUCUGGCUGACACUGAGGCGCGACAGCGUGGGGGGCAAACAGG